rnacentral:rRNA from 1 species
GGCAGGUUGAAGGUUGAGUAACAUCAACUGGAGGACCGAACCCACUAACGUUGCAAAGUUAGGGGAUGACCUGUGGCUGGGGGUGAAAGGCCAAUCAAACUCGGAGAUAGCUGGUUCUCCCCGAAAGCUAUUUAGGUAGCGCCUCGGACGAAUACUACUGGGGGUAGAGCACUGUUUGGGCUAGGGGGUCAUCCCGACUUACCAACCCCAUGCAAACUCCGAAUACCAGUAAGUAAUAUCCGGGAGACACACGGCGGGUGCUAACGUCCGUCGUGAAGAGGGAAACAACCCAGACCGCCGGCUAAGGUCCCAAAGUUCUGGUUAAGUGGGAAACGAUGUGGGAAGGCUCAGACAGCUAGGAUGUUGGCUUAGAAGCAGCCAUCAUUUAAAGAAAGCGUAAUAGCUCACUAGUCGAGUCGGCCUGCGCGGAAGAUGUAACGGGGCUCAAACCAGGCACCGAAGCCGCGGAUUCACGCUAAGCGUGAGUGGUAGGGGAGCGU